ACCUUGGUAGCUAUGUAAGUUGGUGACUCUUAAUCGCCAGAAGUAAUGUAAUUUACCCAAGGUA
rnacentral:tRNA from 1 species